AACGAACGCUGGCGGCGUGCCUAACACAUGCAAGUCGAGCGCGAAAGGAGCAAUCCGAGUAGAGCGGCGCACGGGUGCGUAACACGUGGGUAAUCUGCCUCAGGGUUGAGGAUAACCUUCCGAAAGGUUGGCUAAUACUCGGUAAGCUUACGGUGUCUUCGGACGCUGUGAGAAAACUAGACCUCUAUUUAUAAGUUUAGGCCCAGAGAUGAGCCCGCGGCCCAUCAGCUAGUUGGCGGUGUAACGGACCACCAAGGCAACGACGGGUAGCUGGUCUGAGAGGACGAUCAGCCACACUGGAACUGAGACACGGUCCAGACUCCUACGGGAGGCAGCAGUGGGGAAUUUUCCACAAUGGGCGAAAGCCUGAUGGAGCAACGCCGCGUGUGUGAUGAAGGUCUUCGGAUCGUAAAGCACUUUCGACCGGGACGAAAACCCGUUGGCUAACAUCCAACGGACUGACGGUACCGGGAGAAGAAGCACCGGCUAACUCUGUGCCAGCAGCCGCCGUAAGAU
rnacentral:rRNA from 1 species